rnacentral:lncRNA from 1 species
GGGCAAGACUAAGGAGCUGGGUGAGGGACCGGAAGGGCUGGAAGGGGUGGGCACCUGGGGGCUGCGGCGAGUGGCGAUGGGCGAGCCGGACUUGCACGUGGAGAAAGCCUGUGAUGUUACUCCUACAUUUUUGAAUAUGUACAAGCAUAUUCAGUGAUGCUUUGAGAUCCAACUGUAUGCUGGGUACUACUACUGUAAGGACUAGUGGCUUUGUGGAGAGCAAGAGAGCUAAGCAAGUAGUGGGAGGCCAUCUUAGAAGGAAGCUAUCCUGGUGAGAAGCUCUAAUCACACAGCAGCCCCUGGGACUUGCCAGUAUGUCAUCAGAUACACAAAGAAAGAUUCUGGUUCCACUAUGCCUCUCUCUCAUCCUAAGUCUUCCCUGACUCUCCCAGGCCACAGUGAUCCCUCCUUCUCCUAACUCUUCUUCCUCGUUACUUUCUGGACCUUUGCAGACUUUCUUCCUGGUGGUGUAGCUACUUAUGCAGAGCAGAUGCUCUAAUAUGUGUCUGUUUAUCUCUAUUUAUACAAAGUUUGUAUUUGUCUUCUUGUUAUCUCUAACUAGGCAAUGAUUGCCUAUCACCCCCGCUUUCAACAACAUUAUAAUUUCCUCAAGGACAGGAUAUUCUUACAUGUCUUUCUAUCCCUUAUCAUGUUCUGUAUUUCCCCAUUUGGAAUGUAAAUACCACAAGAGCUAGGAUUUUGUCUGUUAUGUUCAUCACUGUACUCUUGCAGUCUGAAACAGUAUUCUUGAAUAAACGCAAAUAGAAUGAAGGAAUAUAAAA